rnacentral:rRNA from 1 species
UCCUACGGGAGGCAGCAGUAGGGAAUAUUGCACAAUGGAGGAAACUCUGAUGCAGCGACGCCGCGUGAGUGAUGAAGGCCUUCGGGUCGUAAAGCUCUGUCGCAGGGGAAUAACACAAUGAAGGUACCCUGUAAGAAAGGAUCGGCUAACUUCGUGCCAGCAGCCGCGGUAAGACGAGGGAUCCUAGCGUUGUUCGGAAUUAUUGGGCGUAAAGCGGGUGCAGGUGGCUAUGUAAGUCAGGUGUGAAAGCCUAGGGCUCAACCCUAGAAGUGCAUUUGAUACUGCGUAGCUUGAGUGCUGGAGAGGAUAGUAGAAUUCCUGGUGUAGUGGUGAAAUACGUAGAUAUCAGGAGGAAUACCGGAGGCGAAGGCGGCUAUCUGGCUAGACACUGACACUCAGACCCGAAAGCGUGGGGAUCAAACAGGAUUAGAUACCCCUGUAGUC